rnacentral:tRNA from 1 species
GGAGGGGUGCCCGAGCGGUCGAAGGGGCUCGCCUGGAAAGCGAGAGUACCGGUUUCCCGGUACCGGGGGUUCGAAUCCCUCCCCCUCCG